rnacentral:miRNA from 1 species
AUAUGAAUCAUAUAGGGAUCUUACUAAAGUGCAGAUUCUGAUGCAAUGGGUAUGGAGCAGAGCCUUCCUCUUUCUCUUUCAUGCUCUCUCCCUUGCAGUGCUGGGGAGUGCAUCUAGGGUCUCCUAAAUGUUAAUCAAGCACUCUACACUUAGUUACAUCCCCAGCUCUGGGAUUCUGCCUUUUUAAGAAGCACCUAGAUAAUGCCCAU